CCUACGGGGAGCAGCAGUGGGGAAUAUUGCGCAAUGGGCGAAAGCCUGACGCAGCGACGCCGCGUGAGGGAUGAAGGUCUUCGGAUCGUAAACCUCUGUCAGCAGGGAAGAACGGUCACUGGGCUAAGCAGCAGUGAAUUGACGGUACCUGCAAAGGAAGCACCGGCUAACGCCGUGCCAGCAGCCGCGGGAAUACGGAGGGUGCGAGCGUUACUCGGAAUUACGGGGCGUAAAGCGCUCGUAGGCGGUAGGUCAAGUCAAGGGUGAAAUCCCCGCGCUCAACGUGGGAACUGCCUUUGAAACUGGCAACCUGGCGUGUGUGUGAGGAUAGUGGAAUUCCUGGUGUAGCCG
rnacentral:rRNA from 1 species